ensembl:lncRNA
UGUAUAUAAUUACAUCUCAAUAAUGGGUAAAAAUAGAAAUAAUCAUAUCUUAUAGAUACUUCUAAAAUUUACAAAUUAAACAAUACACAUAAAAGUGUUUAAAUUAUAAAUUACAAGUUCAUGGCGCUAUUAUUACUUACCAAAAUAUUGAUCCCUUAAUUAGGAAGAAUGUAUCAUUCAUAUAAAUUGAAUGCAUCCAGUGUCAUGUAAUUCACAUACAUUCUUAUAUUUUCUUAAAAUGUCCACUUAUUAUACUAUUUCUAACAAAUAGAUUUACAGAGUGUAAAUGACACAAAAAAGUAAAAUGGGCAGAAAACUGCAGAACUAGAAUUGAAACAUAAAUCUUUUCAUUGUGAAGCUAAAAUUCUUUCUACUUAGUCAUUGUACCUCUUGUGUUGGAAGUGUAUCUGUUAGACUUGAAUGCUAGACAUCUACAUAAGCACAAAUAUUUCAUAGAAGUUUAGCCGUGAAAGGUUUAUACCUGAGAUUAUUCCGUAAUAAAGAUAAUCUGAUGAAAAGUGGUUUCCAUAUCUUCUGCACAAUUUUGUGGUUUUUAAUGCAGUUUAUUCAAUAAUACUUACAUAAAGUGAGACAAAGCAAUUUCCUUCUUGAAUUUAGUGCAGAACUAGACUGAUGAUAAAAAAAAUGUGUGUUUAAUUUUAAUCUAGGAAGCAAAUAAUGUUUAUGGCGAAGAUAUUGCCAUUUUAAAAGCAUGUAUAUAGAUAUAUGUCUUUAAUGUAUUUUAAACGCUAUUGUUGUCAUUUUACCCCAUGUGUUUUCUAUUUUGAACUUGGCUGACAGGAAGUUUAAAACAAAUACCAACAUUCAGUUUUAAUAAUUCUUUAGCCCUAAUUUAAUGGCAUGCAAUACUUCCAAACUACCUAAUUAGUAGACAUUUAAUAUUUGUCUUUAUGUGAUUUAAUAUGUUAUGCCAAUGCAAUACAUUUGAGGCAGGUAAACUAUAAACAGUAGAUAGUAAAGAUAAAGUUUAAAAAGUGUGCAAAAAAAGGCUUGUGUGUUUUUAAUUAUUAAGUUUUGUUCUUAAAAAAAUCAACAUUCAUUUUUUUAGGUCAAUAUCCCAAAUCAGGCAACUCUAGCAACUGCUCUUCAUAAGGCCUAUUAUAAAUUUUAAUGGCUAUUAGUCAUAACGGUAUACAUUGAGAGGCUAUUCUGAUGUUGUAUACCAAAAAAAUGUAUUUGUCCACACACACACAACAUUCCCAUAUGUACAAACAAUUUAACCAGUGAAUCUUUGAAAGUGGAACACAUACUUUUAAAUUUGGAUACACACAUAUUUCAUUUUAUGUACUAUUUCAAUUACUUAACCUAUGUGUAUUAUAUAAGAAACACAUAAAUAAAGUCUCAUGAAAUGUAAAAAGAAAAGAAAAAAGCUGCUAGGUAUGGUCAUACUGUGAUUUAGUGACAUUAGUUUCUGAGUGAACUUGUCAGAGAAAUACAUGGAAUUCUUCCCUAUUUGAUAAAGUUUGGGAAUAAAGGUAUAAAAAUCAAGUAUUGUGAUACAAAAUAAUUUCCUGAGCAGAAAAUUAACAUAAAUAUAUCAUAUAUACAUGUGUAUAUAUGUGUAUACAUAUAAAACACAUGUGCAUAUUAUUUCAAGUUUAAUUGAUGUUAUGGGUCAUUUUCCCAAAAAAUUAACCAGUACAUAUUCAUUUGUACAUAAUUAGUAAAUUCAUAGAGUAGAUAUUUUGACUGAAACAGAAUAUUUAUGUAUACCAUUAGAUGGUUUGUGUUUACUAUCAGGUAGGGUAGUUUGAACUAAUUCUAGUAUGUGUCUUGUUUAGAUAUUUAAAUAUCUUCAUAUCACACUCAUGGGACUAGUUAAAAUUUCAAACAUUGUUUUUCAUAUUUUAAAGGAAACAUUUUAAGAAUAAAUGGAACACUUAUAUUUUUCUCUAAAGUUGCUCUGAGCGGGAUUUAGUAUCUUACUGGUACUACAGAAUUGCAAUUAUGAGCCAUAGCAUUAUCAUUAACAGUUGUUAUUUCACUGAUGAGAACCAAAGUGAGGAAAAAUAGAGUUUUGCCAAUGGGAAAGGGCCAAACAAAUCAGUUUUUACCUACACUCUCCUAGAAGCUGUAUGUUGACAUUAACCAUCAUUUAAGUGUUCUUCAGGUCAAGCCCAUGGGUUUUCUUGAGGUGACCAGUACCAUCAAGUCGUGGCAGUAUACCCUGCAUGUAGGUAGUCAGGAUGCUUGUGAACUUCUCUGGAGAGAUUAUAGAUUAUAUAUUUGAUCUCCUCUGUUUGGCUUGCCAUAGUAUGUUCCUUAUCUGCUCAGGAAUAUCUGUUAGCACUGUAGAAGCUAAUAAUUUAUUCCCUCACAUAUACCUUGUUUAGAAAAUAUUGUUUGGGAGUUCCCAUCAUGGCACAGCAGAAACGAAUCUGACCAGGAACCAUGAGAUUGCAGGUUCGAUCCCUGGCCUCGCUCAGUGGGUUAAGGAUCCGGCGUUGCCGUGAGCUGUGGUGUAGGUCGCAGAUGCGGCUCAGAUCCUAUGUUGCUGUGGCUGUGGUGUAGGCCAGCAGCUAUAGCUCCAAUUGGACCCCUAGCCUGGGAACCUCCAUAUGCCAUGGAUAUGGCCCUAAAAAGACAAAGGACAAAAAAAAAAAAAAAAGAAAAGAAAAGAAAAUAUUGUUUGAUAUAAAGUUUGCUUUACAGUUUUCAGGUUGUCCAUUUGGUUGAUGAUUCAUUACUUUUGGGGUUACCAUAUGAGAGACACAGCUUUGAAUUUGAAAUAUUGCUGUCAUGGUCUGAAUAUGUCCCUGUAAAAUUCAUAUGUUGAAUCCUAACCCUAAAAGGUGAUGUUAUUAGGAGGUGGGGACCUUGGGAAGUGCUUAAGUCAUGAGGAUAGAACCUUCCUGAAUGGAUUAGUGCCUUUAUAAAAGAGACCUCAGAGAACUCCCUUCCUCUUCUACCAGUGCAGGUAGGACUAGCCAUCUAUGACCUAGAUGUGGGCCUAUGCCCACCCAUGCUGUCGCCUUGAUCUUGGAUGUCCACCCUCCAGAACUGUAAGAAAUAAAUUUCAGUUGUUUAUAAGCUACUCCAUCUGUGGUAUUUUGUUAUAGCAGCUUGAACGUUCACAGACAGUUGUUAUCUUGACCAAUUUGAAUUGAUGCGAGUUGAAAAAUGAAACUAGCUCUCUGUGCUGGAAUCUUCAUGCACUACCAUGAAAAUAUGAAUAUAUUAAAAAGUCCCUUUGCUGUCUCCACGAUCUGAGUCUAAGGGUCAAUAGGAGAAUAAAAAGGUCUUAUCUUCUCCAAAAUCCUGACAAAUUUGCCGCUUUUCAAAUUCAGAGGGUGUGAGGCUGAGAAAGGCCAGGUCUCUUGGAUGAAUAUCCUAAUCCUACCCCUGAGCUGGAGUCAUUACAAGAGGUUUGUUGUUAAGAGUUCAAGUGAGGCUGGGAAAGAGGGCUGGUGCCAAGCACUGCUCUCUAGGAAGCCCAGCUAAGACCAAGGGAAAACAAAACCAUUUCCAAGGAUCACAGGCCUUGAAUUAAGGGAACCCAAAGAAAAACACAGAGCGGUGUGAAAGUUAUGAACUGAGAUGGCUCCACUGGCUUCAUCUGGGUAGCAUGAGCUGGUCUGACUGGCACAUUCCACACCCCAGGCCAAACACCCCAUUCCGCAUUAACAAGUACAGCCAUUCGUGUUUCAAACACGGCUUUUUCAGUUACGCAUUAACCACGCUUUAACUAGCAAAAUAGAAGAAAACUUUGAGGGUGAGAUUUCAGAAGAUGUUAACUUCUAAAACACGAUUAAUGACACUAAUUUUAAGUCAAACUGGUUUUUAAUUAUUGAUAUUGCUGUGGUUCUGACCCUACAGAUUUCAGUUGCUCUGUAAACACAUUCUCUAGGUUUGGCCUCAGAAUCCCUGUGGGCUAGAAACUGCUAGAUGGAAUUUCUAAUUAAAAGAAUAGAAAGGGCUACCAGCAAUUUAACUCCAAGUUCCCUCUUCAAACAUUUACCCUCACACUCCCCCUUAUAAGUGUCCCUAUAGUCUCUUAUUAUUCAUAUUGACAACUUGUACUGGACAGCACCCAUGAAACAACUGACAGCCUUCCUCCAAAAGCAACACCCUUUAUACUGAAGUUUGCUUCAACACCUUGAAAUUUACCUUUCAGACUGAAAGGUUUCAUACAUGGUGGUUAAUACAAUUCACAAAGGAUCUAUUUAUAAGAAGAUUCCUAGGGCACUUGGGUGAUAGUUGCUAAAGUAAUUUUUUUUUUUUUUUUUGCUUUGGGUCAAGACUGAAGAGAAUUUUGACUUCAUAGAACCCUCACGUAUUUACACAGGUGCGGCACUCACAUAUAUUUUACACAUAUUUCUUUGCUUCUCUGUGGUUUCUUUUUGUUUCUCCUCUCUUGUAUUUUGUCUCUGUCUGUUUUCUUCUCUUCUAGCUCUCUCUUUAUUAAGAAAGUAAGUUAUUUUAACGUUGGUGACAGUUCUAGGAAGCCCACACUGGAGACUACUUCCCAAGUACAAUCUUUAGUAAAUUUUCCAAUUCUAGAUUGUUCCUGCCAAGGUAACUGACAUCAAAAUGGCUUUACUAUGUUGACUGACAGGUUGACCCAUCAAGACUUCUUCUGACUUCUCUAGAAUGUCUCUCAGGUAGCUAAUGAAAGGAAGGUAAAAGUGAUAUCUUUCAGUAUCAUCUUUACAACUCAAUUUUGAUUCUUGAACAGAGCCACAUGAAUUUUGAUAUCUAAAUCACAAUUCACUGCGUUGUGGGAUUCCCUUUUUUUUUUUUUCCUCCUGUCUCUGAUUUCCAGUAAUAAGCAUUAUACUCAUUACGUACUUAAGAAAAUAGCUCUAGGAUACUUAGUGAACUGCUCAAUAAGUGAAAUAAACUGUUUACAUAUACUUUGAAUUCACUCUAGGAAACUGUGUCACAGAUUGUUUUGUUGUAGACAAUCUAAGGAACUUUUAUCUCUAUUUUUUGUUAACUUAGAAAAUAAAACUUCGAGUAAUCAAAAUGCAAGAAAGAAUAGCUCCCAUUGUUCCUUUACCAAGACAUUUCCUUCAAAUCUGAGACCAAUGAAAGUAUCCUUUUCCUGGAGUGCUUAUUAGCUGAUGCAGUAGAGAUAGAGCGUUAAGAAAAUAUGUGGUGCCAUAGUACGUGGAGCUUUUAAAAGUUAGAAGUGCUCUAAUUAUUCCUGAGGGGUAGGGAAACUUUAAGAAGAGAUAUUACAGUCAUAAAAUUAAGGAAGGCCUAAUUUUAUACUAAUAGUUCACUCUUUAGGUGGGUCUGAUUUUUCCUUAGUUUCUUUCUACUGCUAUUAAAAUAACUCUUGUUACCACCUAUUCUUUCUGCUAUAGGCCUUUUAUAUAUUAAACACAUAAAGAAUUCAGUCCCAAUUAGGGACUGCAGUGCAUAGGCUAUUUUAUUAAUAGAGAAUCCUAAUUAAAACAUGUGUCUUUUAUUUUGUUUAACUAUUAUUGAAAAUUACAUUAAUGAAGAUCGACCCUUUGUGAAUUUCAGGUAUGUAUCAAGCAUUCAUCUGUCUCUAUAAGCUCAUAAGUUUAUUUUCUUGGCUUACACUAAGAGGAGAUUCUAAAGCUUAGUCACCACAAUUGUAAGGGAGCAAAAUUUGCCACCCCAAAAUGUCUCUUGAGCAGGAGGAUUAUUUUGACCUGAAAACAAAGCCCAAAAGAUUCAGGAAGAGGAGUUCCCAUUGUGCCUCACCUUAACAAAUCUGAAGAUGUGGGUUUGAUCCCUGGCCUCAAAGCAGUGGGUUAAGGAUCCCACCAUGCCAUGAGCUGUGAUGUAAGUCACAGACAUGGCUCAGAUCCAGCGUUGCUGUGGCUGUGGCGUAGGCCAGCAGCUACAGCUCUGUCUUGACCCCUAGCCUGGGAACUUCCAUAUGCCUCAGGUGCAGCUCUGAAAAGCUAAAAAAAAAAAAAAAAA